AAACCAACCGGGAUUGCCUUAGUAGCGGCGAGUGAAGCGGCAAGAGCUCAAAUUUGAAAUCUAGUACCUUYGGUGCUCGAGUUGUAAUUUGUAGAGUAGUGCCUUGGGRCCGUUCCUUGCCUAUGUUCCUUGGAACAGGACGUCAUGGAGGGUGAGAACCCCGUGUGGCGAGGGGUGCGGUUCUAUGUAAGGCCUGCUCGAAGAGUCGAGUUGUUUGGGAAUGCAGCUCUAAGUGGGUGGUAAAUUCCAUCUAAAGCUAAAUACAGGCGAGAGACCGAUAGCGAACAAGUACAGUGAUGGAAAGAUGAAAAGAACUUUGAAAAGAGAGUGAAAAAGUACGUGAAAUUGUUGAAAGGGAAGGGCAUUUGAUCAGACAUGGUGUUUUGCGCCCCCUGCUCCUUGUGGGUGGGGGAAUCUCGCAGCUCACUGGGCCAGCAUCAGUUUUGGCGGCUGGAUAAAUCCGGAGGAAUGUGGCUUCUCUCGGGAAGUGUUAUAGCCUGCGGGAAUACGGCCAGCCGGGACUGAGGAACGCGACGCAAGUCAAGGAUGCUGGCAUAAUGRUUAUAUGCCGC
rnacentral:rRNA from 1 species